rnacentral:rRNA from 1 species
CCUACGGGUGGCAGCAGUGAGGAAUAUUGGUCAAUGGACGAGAGGCUGAACCAGCCAAGUCGCGUGAAGGAUGACGGCCCUAUGGGUUGUAAACUUCUUUUAUCGGGGAGUAAAGUGUACCACGUGUGGGCUUUUGUGUGUACCCUAUGAAUAAGCAUCGGCUAACUCCGUGCCAGCAGCCGCGGUAAUACGGAGGAUGCGAGCGUUAUCCGGAUUUAUUGGGUUUAAAGGGUGCGUAGGGGGAUUGUUAAGUCAGGUGUGAAAGUUUGGGGCUCAACCGGAAAAUUGCAGUUGAAACUGGCAGGCUUGAGUAAAGUAGAGGUGGGCGGAAUGCGUGGUGUAGCGGUGAAAUGCUUAGAUAUCACGCAGAACUCCGAUUGCGAAGGCAGCACACUGGACUGCAACUGACGCUGAGGCACGAAAGCGUGGGUAUCAAACAGGAUUAGAUACCCGGGUAGUC